rnacentral:rRNA from 1 species
GAUGAACGCUGGCGGCGUGCCUAAUACAUGCAAGUCGAGCGAACGGACGAGAAGCUUGCUUCUCUGAUGUUAGCGGCGGACGGGUGAGUAACACGUGGAUAACCUACCUAUAAGACUGGGAUAACUUCGGGAAACCGGAGCUAAUACCGGAUAAUAUUUUGAACCGCAUGGUUCAAAAGUGAAAGACGGUCUUGCUGUCACUUAUAGAUGGAUCCGCGCGGCAUUAGCUAGUUGGUAAGGUAACGGCUUACCAAGGCAACGAUGCAUAGCCGACCUGAGAGGGGGAUCGGCCACACUGGAACUGAGACACGGUCCAGACUCCAACGGGAGGCAGCAGUAGGGAAUCUUCCGCAAUGGGCGAAAGCCUGACGGAGCAACGCGGCGUGAGUGAUGAAGGUCUGCGAAUCGUAAAACUCUGUUAUUAGGGAAGAACAUAUGUGUAAGUAACUGUGAACAUCUUAACGGUACCUAAUCAGAAAGCCACGGCUAACUACGG